rnacentral:lncRNA from 1 species
GAGAACUUUAAUACCGCUCGAAAUGAGGCCACCCAGUAGUUAGGUGUGAAUUUUCGAGACCUUUGGCACCGUUCUAUGAUGGGUCCUCUCUUCGUAGGCUAAUGCAUUGGCCCUUUUUGACCCGUUUUGGGGCGAAAAAAAACUGACUCCCGGGCAUAUUUUUUUCGGCCUUUAUGGGCAGAGAACUUUAAUACCGCUCGAAAUGAGGCCACCCAGUAGUUAGGUGUGAAUUUUCGAGACCUUUGGCACCGUUCUAAGAUGGGUCCUCUCUUCGUAGGCUAAUGCAUUGGCCCUUUUUGACCCGUUUUGGGGCGAAAACAAAAACUGACUCCCGGGCAUAUUUUUUUUCGGCCUUUAUGGGCAGAGAACUUUAAUACCGCUCGAAAUGAGGCCACCCAGUAGUUAGGUGUGAAUUUUCGAGACCUUUGGCACCGUUCUAAGAUGGGUCCUCUCUUCGUAGGCUAAUGCAUUGGCCCUUUUUGACCCGUUUUGGGGCGAAAACAAAAACUGACUCCCGGGCAUAUUUUUUUCGGCCUUUAUGGGCAGAGAACUUUAAUACCGCUCGAAAUGAGGCCACCCAGUAGUUAGGUGUGAAUUUUCGAGACCUUUGGCACCGUUCUAAGAUGGGUCCUCUCUUCGUAGGCUAAUGCAUUGGCCCUUUUUGACCCGUUUUGGGGCGAAAACAAAAACUGACUCCCGGGCAUAUUUUUUUCGGCCUUUAUGGGCAGAGAACUUUAAUACCGCUCGAAAUGAGGCCACCCAGUAGUUAGGUGUGAAUUUUCGAGACCUUUGGCACCGUUCUAAGAUGGGUCCUCUCUUCGUAGGCUAAUGCAUUGGCCCUUUUUGACCCGUUUUGGGGCGAAAACAAAAACUGACUCCCGGGCAUAUUUUUUUUCGGCCUUUAUGGGCAGAGAACUUUAAUACCGCUCGAAAUGAGGCCACCCAGUAGUUAGGUGUGAAUUUUCGAGACCUUUGGCACCGUUCUAAGAUGGGUCCUCUCUUCGUAGGCUAAUGCAUUGGCCCUUUUUGACCCGUUUUGGGGCGAAAACAAAAACUGACUCCCGGGCAUAUUUUUUUCGGCCUUUAUGGGCAGAGAACUUUAAUACCGCUCGAAAUGAGGCCACCCAGUAGUUAGGUGUGAAUUUUCGAGACCUUUGGCACCGUUCUAAGAUGGGUCCUCUCUUCGUAGGCUAAUGCAUUGGCCCUUUUUGACCCGUUUUGGGGCGAAAACAAAAACUGACUCCCGGGCAUAUUUUUUUCGGCCUUUAUGGGCAGAGAACUUUAAUACCGCUCGAAAUGAGGCCACCCAGUAGUUAGGUGUGAAUUUUCGAGACCUUUGGCACCGUUCUAAGAUGGGUCCUCUCUUCGUAGGCUAAUGCAUUGGCCCUUUUUGACCCGUUUUGGGGCGAAAAACAAAAACUGACUCCCGGGCAUAUUUUUUUUCGGCCUUUAUGGGCAGAGAACUUUAAUACCGCUCGAAAUGAGGCCACCCAGUAGUUAGGUGUGAAUUUUCGAGACCUUUGGCACCGUUCUAAGAUGGGUCCUCUCUUCGUAGGCUAAUGCAUUGGCCCUUUUUGACCCGUUUUGGGGCGAAAACAAAAACUGACUCCCGGGCAUAUUUUUUUCGGCCUUUAUGGGCAGAGAACUUUAAUACCGCUCGAAAUGAGGCCACCCAGUAGUUAGGUGUGAAUUUUCGAGACCUUUGGCACCGUUCUAAGAUGGGUCCUCUCUUCGUAGGCUAAUGCAUUGGCCCUUUUUGACCCGUUUUGGGGCGAAAACAAAAACUGACUCCCGGGCAUAUUUUUUUCGGCCUUUAUGGGCAGAGAACUUUAAUACCGCUCGAAAUGAGGCCACCCAGUAGUUAGGUGUGAAUUUUCGAGACCUUUGGCACCGUUCUAAGAUGGGUCCUCUCUUCGUAGGCUAAUGCAUUGGCCCUUUUUGACCCGUUUUGGGGCGAAAACAAAAACUGACUCCCGGGCAUAUUUUUUUCGGCCUUUAUGGGCAGAGAACUUUAAUACCGCUCGAAAUGAGGCCACCCAGUAGUUAGGUGUGAAUUUUCGAGACCUUUGGCACCGUUCUAAGAUGGGUCCUCUCUUCGUAGGCUAAUGCAUUGGCCCUUUUUGACCCGUUUUGGGGCGAAAACAAAAACUGACUCCCGGGCAUAUUUUUUUCGGCCUUUAUGGGCAGAGAACUUUAAUACCGCUCGAAAUGAGGCCACCCAGUAGUUAGGUGUGAAUUUUCGAGACCUUUGGCACCGUUCUAAGAUGGGUCCUCUCUUCGUAGGCUAAUGCAUUGGCCCUUUUUGACCCGUUUUGGGGCGAAAACAAAAACUGACUCCCGGCAUAUUUUUUUCGGCCUUUAUGGGCAGAGAACUUUAAUACCGCUCGAAAUGAGGCCACCCAGUAGUUAGGUGUGAAUUUUCGAGACCUUUGGCACCGUUCUAAGAUGGGUCCUCUCUUCGUAGGCUAAUGCAUUGGCCCUUUUUGACCCGUUUUGGGGCGAAAACAAAAACUGACUCCCGGGCAUAUUUUUUUCGGCCUUUAUGGGCAGAGAACUUUAAUACCGCUCGAAAUGAGGCCACCCAGUAGUUAGGUGUGAAUUUUCGAGACCUUUGGCACCGUUCUAAGAUGGGUCCUCUCUUCGUAGGCUAAUGCAUUGGCCCUUUUUGACCCGUUUUGGGGCGAAAACAAAAACUGACUCCCGGGCAUAUUUUUUUCGGCCUUUAUGGGCAGAGAACUUUAAUACCGCUCGAAAUGAGGCCACCCAGUAGUUAGGUGUGAAUUUUCGAGACCUUUGGCACCGUUCUAAGAUGGGUCCUCUCUUCGUAGGCUAAUGCAUUGGCCCUUUUUGACCCGUUUUGGGGCGAAAACAAAAACUGACUCCCGGGCAUAUUUUUUUCGGCCUUUAUGGGCAGAGAACUUUAAUACCGCUCGAAAUGAGGCCACCCAGUAGUUAGGUGUGAAUUUUCGAGACCUUUGGCACCGUUCUAAGAUGGGUCCUCUCUUCGUAGGCUAAUGCAUUGGCCCUUUUUGACCCGUUUUGGGGCGAAAACAAAAACUGACUCCCGGGCAUAUUUUUUUCGGCCUUUAUGGGCAGAGAACUUUAAUACCGCUCGAAAUGAGGCCACCCAGUAGUUAGGUGUGAAUUUUCGAGACCUUUGGCACCGUUCUAAGAUGGGUCCUCUCUUCGUAGGCUAAUGCAUUGGCCCUUUUUGACCCGUUUUGGGGCGAAAACAAAAACUGACUCCCGGGCAUAUUUUUUUCGGCCUUUAUGGGCAGAGAACUUUAAUACCGCUCGAAAUGAGGCCACCCAGUAGUUAGGUGUGAAUUUUCGAGACCUUUGGCACCGUUCUAAGAUGGGUCCUCUCUUCGUAGGCUAAUGCAUUGGCCCUUUUUGACCCGUUUUGGGGCGAAAACAAAAACUGACUCCCGGGCAUAUUUUUUUCGGCCUUUAUGGGCAGAGAACUUUAAUACCGCUCGAAAUGAGGCCACCCAGUAGUUAGGUGUGAAUUUUCGAGACCUUUGGCACCGUUCUAAGAUGGGUCCUCUCUUCGUAGGCUAAUGCAUUGGCCCUUUUUGACCCGUUUUGGGGCGAAAACAAAAACUGACUCCCGGGCAUAUUUUUUUCGGCCUUUAUGGGCAGAGAACUUUAAUACCGCUCGAAAUGAGGCCACCCAGUAGUUAGGUGUGAAUUUUCGAGACCUUUGGCACCGUUCUAAGAUGGGUCCUCUCUUCGUAGGCUAAUGCAUUGGCCCUUUUUGACCCGUUUUGGGGCGAAAACAAAAACUGACUCCCGGGCAUAUUUUUUUCGGCCUUUAUGGGCAGAGAACUUUAAUACCGCUCGAAAUGAGGCCACCCAGUAGUUAGGUGUGAAUUUUCGAGACCUUUGGCACCGUUCUAAGAUGGGUCCUCUCUUCGUAGGCUAAUGCAUUGGCCCUUUUUGACCCGUUUUGGGGCGAAAACAAAAACUGACUCCCGGGCAUAUUUUUUUCGGCCUUUAUGGGCAGAGAACUUUAAUACCGCUCGAAAUGAGGCCACCCAGUAGUUAGGUGUGAAUUUUCGAGACCUUUGGCACCGUUCUAAGAUGGGUCCUCUCUUCGUAGGCUAAUGCAUUGGCCCUUUUUGACCCGUUUUGGGGCGAAAACAAAAACUGACUCCCGGGCAUAUUUUUUUCGGCCUUUAUGGGCAGAGAACUUUAAUACCGCUCGAAAUGAGGCCACCCAGUAGUUAGGUGUGAAUUUUCGAGACCUUUGGCACCGUUCUAAGAUGGGUCCUCUCUUCGUAGGCUAAUGCAUUGGCCCUUUUUGACCCGUUUUGGGGCGAAAACAAAAACUGACUCCCGGGCAUAUUUUUUUCGGCCUUUAUGGGCAGAGAACUUUAAUACCGCUCGAAAUGAGGCCACCCAGUAGUUAGGUGUGAAUUUUCGAGACCUUUGGCACCGUUCUAAGAUGGGUCCUCUCUUCGUAGGCUAAUGCAUUGGCCCUUUUUGACCCGUUUUGGGGCGAAAACAAAAACUGACUCCCGGGCAUAUUUUUUUCGGCCUUUAUGGGCAGAGAACUUUAAUACCGCUCGAAAUGAGGCCACCCAGUAGUUAGGUGUGAAUUUUCGAGACCUUUGGCACCGUUCUAAGAUGGGUCCUCUCUUCGUAGGCUAAUGCAUUGGCCCUUUUUGACCCGUUUUGGGGCGAAAACAAAAACUGACUCCCGGGCAUAUUUUUUUCGGCCUUUAUGGGCAGAGAACUUUAAUACCGCUCGAAAUGAGGCCACCCAGUAGUUAGGUGUGAAUUUUCGAGACCUUUGGCACCGUUCUAAGAUGGGUCCUCUCUUCGUAGGCUAAUGCAUUGGCCCUUUUUGACCCGUUUUGGGGCGAAAACAAAAACUGACUCCCGGGCAUAUUUUUUUCGGCCUUUAUGGGCAGAGAACUUUAAUACCGCUCGAAAUGAGGCCACCCAGUAGUUAGGUGUGAAUUUUCGAGACCUUUGGCACCGUUCUAAGAUGGGUCCUCUCUUCGUAGGCUAAUGCAUUGGCCCUUUUUGACCCGUUUUGGGGCGAAAACAAAAACUGACUCCCGGGCAUAUUUUUUUCGGCCUUUAUGGGCAGAGAACUUUAAUACCGCUCGAAAUGAGGCCACCCAGUAGUUAGGUGUGAAUUUUCGAGACCUUUGGCACCGUUCUAAGAUGGGUCCUCUCUUCGUAGGCUAAUGCAUUGGCCCUUUUUGACCCGUUUUGGGGCGAAAACAAAAACUGACUCCCGGGCAUAUUUUUUUCGGCCUUUAUGGGCAGAGAACUUUAAUACCGCUCAAAAUGAGGCCACCCAGUAGUUAGGUGUGAAUUUUCGAGACCUUUGGCACCGUUCUAAGAUGGGUCCUCUCUUCGUAGGCUAAUGCAUUGGCCCUUUUUGACCCGUUUUGGGGCGAAAACAAAAACUGACUCCCGGGCAUAUUUUUUUCGGCCUUUAUGGGCAGAGAACUUUAAUACCGCUCAAAAUGAGGCCACCCAGUAGUUAGGUGUGAAUUUUCGAGACCUUUGGCACCGUUCUAAGAUGGGUCCUCUCUUCGUAGGCUAAUGCAUUGGCCCUUUUUGACCCGUUUUGGGGCGAAAACAAAAACUGACUCCCGGGCAUAUUUUUUUCGGCCUUUAUGGGCAGAGAACUUUAAUACCGCUCAAAAUGAGGCCACCCAGUAGUUAGGUGUGAAUUUUCGAGACCUUUGGCACCGUUCUAAGAUGGGUCCUCUCUUCGUAGGCUAAUGCAUUGGCCCUUUUUGACCCGUUUUGGGGCGAAAACAAAAACUGACUCCCGGGCAUAUUUUUUUCGGCCUUUAUGGGCAGAGAACUUUAAUACCGCUCAAAAUGAGGCCACCCAGUAGUUAGGUGUGAAUUUUCGAGACCUUUGGCACCGUUCUAAGAUGGGUCCUCUCUUCGUAGGCUAAUGCAUUGGCCCUUUUUGACCCGUUUUGGGGCGAAAACAAAAACUGACUCCCGGGCAUAUUUUUUUCGGCCUUUAUGGGCAGAGAACUUUAAUACCGCUCAAAAUGAGGCCACCCAGUAGUUAGGUGUGAAUUUUCGAGACCUUUGGCACCGUUCUAAGAUGGGUCCUCUCUUCGUAGGCUAAUGCAUUGGCCCUUUUUGACCCGUUUUGGGGCGAAAACAAAAACUGACUCCCGGGCAUAUUUUUUUCGGCCUUUAUGGGCAGAGAACUUUAAUACCGCUCAAAAUGAGGCCACCCAGUAGUUAGGUGUGAAUUUUCGAGACCUUUGGCACCGUUCUAAGAUGGGUCCUCUCUUCGUAGGCUAAUGCAUUGGCCCUUUUUGACCCGUUUUGGGGCGAAAACAAAAACUGACUCCCGGGCAUAUUUUUUUCGGCCUUUAUGGGCAGAGAACUUUAAUACCGCUCGAAAUGAGGCCACCCAGUAGUUAGGUGUGAAUUUUCGAGACCUUUGGCACCGUUCUAAGAUGGGUCCUCUCUUCGUAGGCUAAUGCAUUGGCCCUUUUUGACCCGUUUUGGGGCGAAAACAAAAACUGACUCCCGGGCAUAUUUUUUUCGGCCUUUAUGGGCAGAGAACUUUAAUACCGCUCAAAAUGAGGCCACCCAGUAGUUAGGUGUGAAUUUUCGAGACCUUUGGCACCGUUCUAAGAUGGGUCCUCUCUUCGUAGGCUAAUGCAUUGGCCCUUUUUGACCCGUUUUGGGGCGAAAACAAAAACUGACUCCCGGGCAUAUUUUUUUCGGCCUUUAUGGGCAGAGAACUUUAAUACCGCUCAAAAUGAGGCCACCCAGUAGUUAGGUGUGAAUUUUCGAGACCUUUGGCACCGUUCUAAGAUGGGUCCUCUCUUCGUAGGCUAAUGCAUUGGCCCUUUUUGACCCGUUUUGGGGCGAAAACAAAAACUGACUCCCGGGCAUAUUUUUUUCGGCCUUUAUGGGCAGAGAACUUUAAUACCGCUCAAAAUGAGGCCACCCAGUAGUUAGGUGUGAAUUUUCGAGACCUUUGGCACCGUUCUAAGAUGGGUCCUCUCUUCGUAGGCUAAUGCAUUGGCCCUUUUUGACCCGUUUUGGGGCGAAAACAAAAACUGACUCCCGGGCAUAUUUUUUUCGGCCUUUAUGGGCAGAGAACUUUAAUACCGCUCAAAAUGAGGCCACCCAGUAGUUAGGUGUGAAUUUUCGAGACCUUUGGCACCGUUCUAAGAUGGGUCCUCUCUUCGUAGGCUAAUGCAUUGGCCCUUUUUGACCCGUUUUGGGGCGAAAACAAAAACUGACUCCCGGGCAUAUUUUUUUCGGCCUUUAUGGGCAGAGAACUUUAAUACCGCUCAAAAUGAGGCCACCCAGUAGUUAGGUGUGAAUUUUCGAGACCUUUGGCACCGUUCUAAGAUGGGUCCUCUCUUCGUAGGCUAAUGCAUUGGCCCUUUUUGACCCGUUUUGGGGCGAAAACAAAAACUGACUCCCGGGCAUAUUUUUUUCGGCCUUUAUGGGCAGAGAACUUUAAUACCGCUCAAAAUGAGGCCACCCAGUAGUUAGGUGUGAAUUUUCGAGACCUUUGGCACCGUUCUAAGAUGGGUCCUCUCUUCGUAGGCUAAUGCAUUGGCCCUUUUUGACCCGUUUUGGGGCGAAAACAAAAACUGACUCCCGGGCAUAUUUUUUUCGGCCUUUAUGGGCAGAGAACUUUAAUACCGCUCAAAAUGAGGCCACCCAGUAGUUAGGUGUGAAUUUUCGAGACCUUUGGCACCGUUCUAAGAUGGGUCCUCUCUUCGUAGGCUAAUGCAUUGGCCCUUUUUGACCCGUUUUGGGGCGAAAACAAAAACUGACUCCCGGGCAUAUUUUUUUCGGCCUUUAUGGGCAGAGAACUUUAAUACCGCUCAAAAUGAGGCCACCCAGUAGUUAGGUGUGAAUUUUCGAGACCUUUGGCACCGUUCUAAGAUGGGUCCUCUCUUCGUAGGCUAAUGCAUUGGCCCUUUUUGACCCGUUUUGGGGCGAAAACAAAAACUGACUCCCGGGCAUAUUUUUUUCGGCCUUUAUGGGCAGAGAACUUUAAUACCGCUCAAAAUGAGGCCACCCAGUAGUUAGGUGUGAAUUUUCGAGACCUUUGGCACCGUUCUAAGAUGGGUCCUCUCUUCGUAGGCUAAUGCAUUGGCCCUUUUUGACCCGUUUUGGGGCGAAAACAAAAACUGACUCCCGGGCAUAUUUUUUUCGGCCUUUAUGGGCAGAGAACUUUAAUACCGCUCAAAAUGAGGCCACCCAGUAGUUAGGUGUGAAUUUUCGAGACCUUUGGCACCGUUCUAAGAUGGGUCCUCUCUUCGUAGGCUAAUGCAUUGGCCCUUUUUGACCCGUUUUGGGGCGAAAACAAAAACUGACUCCCGGGCAUAUUUUUUUCGGCCUUUAUGGGCAGAGAACUUUAAUACCGCUCAAAAUGAGGCCACCCAGUAGUUAGGUGUGAAUUUUCGAGACCUUUGGCACCGUUCUAAGAUGGGUCCUCUCUUCGUAGGCUAAUGCAUUGGCCCUUUUUGACCCGUUUUGGGGCGAAAACAAAAACUGACUCCCGGGCAUAUUUUUUUCGGCCUUUAUGGGCAGAGAACUUUAAUACCGCUCAAAAUGAGGCCACCCAGUAGUUAGGUGUGAAUUUUCGAGACCUUUGGCACCGUUCUAAGAUGGGUCCUCUCUUCGUAGGCUAAUGCAUUGGCCCUUUUUGACCCGUUUUGGGGCGAAAACAAAAACUGACUCCCGGGCAUAUUUUUUUCGGCCUUUAUGGGCAGAGAACUUUAAUACCGCUCAAAAUGAGGCCACCCAGUAGUUAGGUGUGAAUUUUCGAGACCUUUGGCACCGUUCUAAGAUGGGUCCUCUCUUCGUAGGCUAAUGCAUUGGCCCUUUUUGACCCGUUUUGGGGCGAAAACAAAAACUGACUCCCGGGCAUAUUUUUUUCGGCCUUUAUGGGCAGAGAACUUUAAUACCGCUCAAAAUGAGGCCACCCAGUAGUUAGGUGUGAAUUUUCGAGACCUUUGGCACCGUUCUAAGAUGGGUCCUCUCUUCGUAGGCUAAUGCAUUGGCCCUUUUUGACCCGUUUUGGGGCGAAAACAAAAACUGACUCCCGGGCAUAUUUUUUUCGGCCUUUAUGGGCAGAGAACUUUAAUACCGCUCAAAAUGAGGCCACCCAGUAGUUAGGUGUGAAUUUUCGAGACCUUUGGCACCGUUCUAAGAUGGGUCCUCUCUUCGUAGGCUAAUGCAUUGGCCCUUUUUGACCCGUUUUGGGGCGAAAACAAAAACUGACUCCCGGGCAUAUUUUUUUCGGCCUUUAUGGGCAGAGAACUUUAAUACCGCUCAAAAUGAGGCCACCCAGUAGUUAGGUGUGAAUUUUCGAGACCUUUGGCACCGUUCUAAGAUGGGUCCUCUCUUCGUAGGCUAAUGCAUUGGCCCUUUUUGACCCGUUUUGGGGCGAAAACAAAAACUGACUCCCGGGCAUAUUUUUUUCGGCCUUUAUGGGCAGAGAACUUUAAUACCGCUCAAAAUGAGGCCACCCAGUAGUUAGGUGUGAAUUUUCGAGACCUUUGGCACCGUUCUAAGAUGGGUCCUCUCUUCGUAGGCUAAUGCAUUGGCCCUUUUUGACCCGUUUUGGGGCGAAAACAAAAACUGACUCCCGGGCAUAUUUUUUUCGGCCUUUAUGGGCAGAGAACUUUAAUACCGCUCAAAAUGAGGCCACCCAGUAGUUAGGUGUGAAUUUUCGAGACCUUUGGCACCGUUCUAAGAUGGGUCCUCUCUUCGUAGGCUAAUGCAUUGGCCCUUUUUGACCCGUUUUGGGGCGAAAACAAAAACUGACUCCCGGGCAUAUUUUUUUCGGCCUUUAUGGGCAGAGAACUUUAAUACCGCUCAAAAUGAGGCCACCCAGUAGUUAGGUGUGAAUUUUCGAGACCUUUGGCACCGUUCUAAGAUGGGUCCUCUCUUCGUAGGCUAAUGCAUUGGCCCUUUUUGACCCGUUUUGGGGCGAAAACAAAAACUGACUCCCGGGCAUAUUUUUUUCGGCCUUUAUGGGCAGAGAACUUUAAUACCGCUCAAAAUGAGGCCACCCAGUAGUUAGGUGUGAAUUUUCGAGACCUUUGGCACCGUUCUAAGAUGGGUCCUCUCUUCGUAGGCUAAUGCAUUGGCCCUUUUUGACCCGUUUUGGGGCGAAAACAAAAACUGACUCCCGGGCAUAUUUUUUUCGGCCUUUAUGGGCAGAGAACUUUAAUACCGCUCAAAAUGAGGCCACCCAGUAGUUAGGUGUGAAUUUUCGAGACCUUUGGCACCGUUCUAAGAUGGGUCCUCUCUUCGUAGGCUAAUGCAUUGGCCCUUUUUGACCCGUUUUGGGGCGAAAACAAAAACUGACUCCCGGGCAUAUUUUUUUCGGCCUUUAUGGGCAGAGAACUUUAAUACCGCUCAAAAUGAGGCCACCCAGUAGUUAGGUGUGAAUUUUCGAGACCUUUGGCACCGUUCUAAGAUGGGUCCUCUCUUCGUAGGCUAAUGCAUUGGCCCUUUUUGACCCGUUUUGGGGCGAAAACAAAAACUGACUCCCGGGCAUAUUUUUUUCGGCCUUUAUGGGCAGAGAACUUUAAUACCGCUCAAAAUGAGGCCACCCAGUAGUUAGGUGUGAAUUUUCGAGACCUUUGGCACCGUUCUAAGAUGGGUCCUCUCUUCGUAGGCUAAUGCAUUGGCCCUUUUUGACCCGUUUUGGGGCGAAAACAAAAACUGACUCCCGGGCAUAUUUUUUUCGGCCUUUAUGGGCAGAGAACUUUAAUACCGCUCAAAAUGAGGCCACCCAGUAGUUAGGUGUGAAUUUUCGAGACCUUUGGCACCGUUCUAAGAUGGGUCCUCUCUUCGUAGGCUAAUGCAUUGGCCCUUUUUGACCCGUUUUGGGGCGAAAACAAAAACUGACUCCCGGGCAUAUUUUUUUCGGCCUUUAUGGGCAGAGAACUUUAAUACCGCUCAAAAUGAGGCCACCCAGUAGUUAGGUGUGAAUUUUCGAGACCUUUGGCACCGUUCUAAGAUGGGUCCUCUCUUCGUAGGCUAAUGCAUUGGCCCUUUUUGACCCGUUUUGGGGCGAAAACAAAAACUGACUCCCGGGCAUAUUUUUUUCGGCCUUUAUGGGCAGAGAACUUUAAUACCGCUCAAAAUGAGGCCACCCAGUAGUUAGGUGUGAAUUUUCGAGACCUUUGGCACCGUUCUAAGAUGGGUCCUCUCUUCGUAGGCUAAUGCAUUGGCCCUUUUUGACCCGUUUUGGGGCGAAAACAAAAACUGACUCCCGGGCAUAUUUUUUUCGGCCUUUAUGGGCAGAGAACUUUAAUACCGCUCAAAAUGAGGCCACCCAGUAGUUAGGUGUGAAUUUUCGAGACCUUUGGCACCGUUCUAAGAUGGGUCCUCUCUUCGUAGGCUAAUGCAUUGGCCCUUUUUGACCCGUUUUGGGGCGAAAACAAAAACUGACUCCCGGGCAUAUUUUUUUCGGCCUUUAUGGGCAGAGAACUUUAAUACCGCUCAAAAUGAGGCCACCCAGUAGUUAGGUGUGAAUUUUCGAGACCUUUGGCACCGUUCUAAGAUGGGUCCUCUCUUCGUAGGCUAAUGCAUUGGCCCUUUUUGACCCGUUUUGGGGCGAAAACAAAAACUGACUCCCGGGCAUAUUUUUUUCGGCCUUUAUGGGCAGAGAACUUUAAUACCGCUCAAAAUGAGGCCACCCAGUAGUUAGGUGUGAAUUUUCGAGACCUUUGGCACCGUUCUAAGAUGGGUCCUCUCUUCGUAGGCUAAUGCAUUGGCCCUUUUUGACCCGUUUUGGGGCGAAAACAAAAACUGACUCCCGGGCAUAUUUUUUUCGGCCUUUAUGGGCAGAGAACUUUAAUACCGCUCAAAAUGAGGCCACCCAGUAGUUAGGUGUGAAUUUUCGAGACCUUUGGCACCGUUCUAAGAUGGGUCCUCUCUUCGUAGGCUAAUGCAUUGGCCCUUUUUGACCCGUUUUGGGGCGAAAACAAAAACUGACUCCCGGGCAUAUUUUUUUCGGCCUUUAUGGGCAGAGAACUUUAAUACCGCUCAAAAUGAGGCCACCCAGUAGUUAGGUGUGAAUUUUCGAGACCUUUGGCACCGUUCUAAGAUGGGUCCUCUCUUCGUAGGCUAAUGCAUUGGCCCUUUUUGACCCGUUUUGGGGCGAAAACAAAAACUGACUCCCGGGCAUAUUUUUUUCGGCCUUUAUGGGCAGAGAACUUUAAUACCGCUCAAAAUGAGGCCACCCAGUAGUUAGGUGUGAAUUUUCGAGACCUUUGGCACCGUUCUAAGAUGGGUCCUCUCUUCGUAGGCUAAUGCAUUGGCCCUUUUUGACCCGUUUUGGGGCGAAAACAAAAACUGACUCCCGGGCAUAUUUUUUUCGGCCUUUAUGGGCAGAGAACUUUAAUACCGCUCAAAAUGAGGCCACCCAGUAGUUAGGUGUGAAUUUUCGAGACCUUUGGCACCGUUCUAAGAUGGGUCCUCUCUUCGUAGGCUAAUGCAUUGGCCCUUUUUGACCCGUUUUGGGGCGAAAACAAAAACUGACUCCCGGGCAUAUUUUUUUCGGCCUUUAUGGGCAGAGAACUUUAAUACCGCUCAAAAUGAGGCCACCCAGUAGUUAGGUGUGAAUUUUCGAGACCUUUGGCACCGUUCUAAGAUGGGUCCUCUCUUCGUAGGCUAAUGCAUUGGCCCUUUUUGACCCGUUUUGGGGCGAAAACAAAAACUGACUCCCGGGCAUAUUUUUUUCGGCCUUUAUGGGCAGAGAACUUUAAUACCGCUCAAAAUGAGGCCACCCAGUAGUUAGGUGUGAAUUUUCGAGACCUUUGGCACCGUUCUAAGAUGGGUCCUCUCUUCGUAGGCUAAUGCAUUGGCCCUUUUUGACCCGUUUUGGGGCGAAAACAAAAACUGACUCCCGGGCAUAUUUUUUUCGGCCUUUAUGGGCAGAGAACUUUAAUACCGCUCAAAAUGAGGCCACCCAGUAGUUAGGUGUGAAUUUUCGAGACCUUUGGCACCGUUCUAAGAUGGGUCCUCUCUUCGUAGGCUAAUGCAUUGGCCCUUUUUGACCCGUUUUGGGGCGAAAACAAAAACUGACUCCCGGGCAUAUUUUUUUCGGCCUUUAUGGGCAGAGAACUUUAAUACCGCUCAAAAUGAGGCCACCCAGUAGUUAGGUGUGAAUUUUCGAGACCUUUGGCACCGUUCUAAGAUGGGUCCUCUCUUCGUAGGCUAAUGCAUUGGCCCUUUUUGACCCGUUUUGGGGCGAAAACAAAAACUGACUCCCGGGCAUAUUUUUUUCGGCCUUUAUGGGCAGAGAACUUUAAUACCGCUCAAAAUGAGGCCACCCAGUAGUUAGGUGUGAAUUUUCGAGACCUUUGGCACCGUUCUAAGAUGGGUCCUCUCUUCGUAGGCUAAUGCAUUGGCCCUUUUUGACCCGUUUUGGGGCGAAAACAAAAACUGACUCCCGGGCAUAUUUUUUUCGGCCUUUAUGGGCAGAGAACUUUAAUACCGCUCAAAAUGAGGCCACCCAGUAGUUAGGUGUGAAUUUUCGAGACCUUUGGCACCGUUCUAAGAUGGGUCCUCUCUUCGUAGGCUAAUGCAUUGGCCCUUUUUGACCCGUUUUGGGGCGAAAACAAAAACUGACUCCCGGGCAUAUUUUUUUCGGCCUUUAUGGGCAGAGAACUUUAAUACCGCUCAAAAUGAGGCCACCCAGUAGUUAGGUGUGAAUUUUCGAGACCUUUGGCACCGUUCUAAGAUGGGUCCUCUCUUCGUAGGCUAAUGCAUUGGCCCUUUUUGACCCGUUUUGGGGCGAAAACAAAAACUGACUCCCGGGCAUAUUUUUUUCGGCCUUUAUGGGCAGAGAACUUUAAUACCGCUCAAAAUGAGGCCACCCAGUAGUUAGGUGUGAAUUUUCGAGACCUUUGGCACCGUUCUAAGAUGGGUCCUCUCUUCGUAGGCUAAUGCAUUGGCCCUUUUUGACCCGUUUUGGGGCGAAAACAAAAACUGACUCCCGGGCAUAUUUUUUUCGGCCUUUAUGGGCAGAGAACUUUAAUACCGCUCAAAAUGAGGCCACCCAGUAGUUAGGUGUGAAUUUUCGAGACCUUUGGCACCGUUCUAAGAUGGGUCCUCUCUUCGUAGGCUAAUGCAUUGGCCCUUUUUGACCCGUUUUGGGGCGAAAACAAAAACUGACUCCCGGGCAUAUUUUUUUCGGCCUUUAUGGGCAGAGAACUUUAAUACCGCUCAAAAUGAGGCCACCCAGUAGUUAGGUGUGAAUUUUCGAGACCUUUGGCACCGUUCUAAGAUGGGUCCUCUCUUCGUAGGCUAAUGCAUUGGCCCUUUUUGACCCGUUUUGGGGCGAAAACAAAAACUGACUCCCGGGCAUAUUUUUUUCGGCCUUUAUGGGCAGAGAACUUUAAUACCGCUCAAAAUGAGGCCACCCAGUAGUUAGGUGUGAAUUUUCGAGACCUUUGGCACCGUUCUAAGAUGGGUCCUCUCUUCGUAGGCUAAUGCAUUGGCCCUUUUUGACCCGUUUUGGGGCGAAAACAAAAACUGACUCCCGGGCAUAUUUUUUUCGGCCUUUAUGGGCAGAGAACUUUAAUACCGCUCAAAAUGAGGCCACCCAGUAGUUAGGUGUGAAUUUUCGAGACCUUUGGCACCGUUCUAAGAUGGGUCCUCUCUUCGUAGGCUAAUGCAUUGGCCCUUUUUGACCCGUUUUGGGGCGAAAACAAAAACUGACUCCCGGGCAUAUUUUUUUCGGCCUUUAUGGGCAGAGAACUUUAAUACCGCUCAAAAUGAGGCCACCCAGUAGUUAGGUGUGAAUUUUCGAGACCUUUGGCACCGUUCUAAGAUGGGUCCUCUCUUCGUAGGCUAAUGCAUUGGCCCUUUUUGACCCGUUUUGGGGCGAAAACAAAAACUGACUCCCGGGCAUAUUUUUUUCGGCCUUUAUGGGCAGAGAACUUUAAUACCGCUCAAAAUGAGGCCACCCAGUAGUUAGGUGUGAAUUUUCGAGACCUUUGGCACCGUUCUAAGAUGGGUCCUCUCUUCGUAGGCUAAUGCAUUGGCCCUUUUUGACCCGUUUUGGGGCGAAAACAAAAACUGACUCCCGGGCAUAUUUUUUUCGGCCUUUAUGGGCAGAGAACUUUAAUACCGCUCAAAAUGAGGCCACCCAGUAGUUAGGUGUGAAUUUUCGAGACCUUUGGCACCGUUCUAAGAUGGGUCCUCUCUUCGUAGGCUAAUGCAUUGGCCCUUUUUGACCCGUUUUGGGGCGAAAACAAAAACUGACUCCCGGGCAUAUUUUUUUCGGCCUUUAUGGGCAGAGAACUUUAAUACCGCUCAAAAUGAGGCCACCCAGUAGUUAGGUGUGAAUUUUCGAGACCUUUGGCACCGUUCUAAGAUGGGUCCUCUCUUCGUAGGCUAAUGCAUUGGCCCUUUUUGACCCGUUUUGGGGCGAAAACAAAAACUGACUCCCGGGCAUAUUUUUUUCGGCCUUUAUGGGCAGAGAACUUUAAUACCGCUCAAAAUGAGGCCACCCAGUAGUUAGGUGUGAAUUUUCGAGACCUUUGGCACCGUUCUAAGAUGGGUCCUCUCUUCGUAGGCUAAUGCAUUGGCCCUUUUUGACCCGUUUUGGGGCGAAAACAAAAACUGACUCCCGGGCAUAUUUUUUUCGGCCUUUAUGGGCAGAGAACUUUAAUACCGCUCAAAAUGAGGCCACCCAGUAGUUAGGUGUGAAUUUUCGAGACCUUUGGCACCGUUCUAAGAUGGGUCCUCUCUUCGUAGGCUAAUGCAUUGGCCCUUUUUGACCCGUUUUGGGGCGAAAACAAAAACUGACUCCCGGGCAUAUUUUUUUCGGCCUUUAUGGGCAGAGAACUUUAAUACCGCUCAAAAUGAGGCCACCCAGUAGUUAGGUGUGAAUUUUCGAGACCUUUGGCACCGUUCUAAGAUGGGUCCUCUCUUCGUAGGCUAAUGCAUUGGCCCUUUUUGACCCGUUUUGGGGCGAAAACAAAAACUGACUCCCGGGCAUAUUUUUUUCGGCCUUUAUGGGCAGAGAACUUUAAUACCGCUCAAAAUGAGGCCACCCAGUAGUUAGGUGUGAAUUUUCGAGACCUUUGGCACCGUUCUAAGAUGGGUCCUCUCUUCGUAGGCUAAUGCAUUGGCCCUUUUUGACCCGUUUUGGGGCGAAAACAAAAACUGACUCCCGGGCAUAUUUUUUUCGGCCUUUAUGGGCAGAGAACUUUAAUACCGCUCAAAAUGAGGCCACCCAGUAGUUAGGUGUGAAUUUUCGAGACCUUUGGCACCGUUCUAAGAUGGGUCCUCUCUUCGUAGGCUAAUGCAUUGGCCCUUUUUGACCCGUUUUGGGGCGAAAACAAAAACUGACUCCCGGGCAUAUUUUUUUCGGCCUUUAUGGGCAGAGAACUUUAAUACCGCUCAAAAUGAGGCCACCCAGUAGUUAGGUGUGAAUUUUCGAGACCUUUGGCACCGUUCUAAGAUGGGUCCUCUCUUCGUAGGCUAAUGCAUUGGCCCUUUUUGACCCGUUUUGGGGCGAAAACAAAAACUGACUCCCGGGCAUAUUUUUUUCGGCCUUUAUGGGCAGAGAACUUUAAUACCGCUCAAAAUGAGGCCACCCAGUAGUUAGGUGUGAAUUUUCGAGACCUUUGGCACCGUUCUAAGAUGGGUCCUCUCUUCGUAGGCUAAUGCAUUGGCCCUUUUUGACCCGUUUUGGGGCGAAAACAAAAACUGACUCCCGGGCAUAUUUUUUUCGGCCUUUAUGGGCAGAGAACUUUAAUACCGCUCAAAAUGAGGCCACCCAGUAGUUAGGUGUGAAUUUUCGAGACCUUUGGCACCGUUCUAAGAUGGGUCCUCUCUUCGUAGGCUAAUGCAUUGGCCCUUUUUGACCCGUUUUGGGGCGAAAACAAAAACUGACUCCCGGGCAUAUUUUUUUCGGCCUUUAUGGGCAGAGAACUUUAAUACCGCUCAAAAUGAGGCCACCCAGUAGUUAGGUGUGAAUUUUCGAGACCUUUGGCACCGUUCUAAGAUGGGUCCUCUCUUCGUAGGCUAAUGCAUUGGCCCUUUUUGACCCGUUUUGGGGCGAAAACAAAAACUGACUCCCGGGCAUAUUUUUUUCGGCCUUUAUGGGCAGAGAACUUUAAUACCGCUCAAAAUGAGGCCACCCAGUAGUUAGGUGUGAAUUUUCGAGACCUUUGGCACCGUUCUAAGAUGGGUCCUCUCUUCGUAGGCUAAUGCAUUGGCCCUUUUUGACCCGUUUUGGGGCGAAAACAAAAACUGACUCCCGGGCAUAUUUUUUUCGGCCUUUAUGGGCAGAGAACUUUAAUACCGCUCAAAAUGAGGCCACCCAGUAGUUAGGUGUGAAUUUUCGAGACCUUUGGCACCGUUCUAAGAUGGGUCCUCUCUUCGUAGGCUAAUGCAUUGGCCCUUUUUGACCCGUUUUGGGGCGAAAACAAAAACUGACUCCCGGGCAUAUUUUUUUCGGCCUUUAUGGGCAGAGAACUUUAAUACCGCUCAAAAUGAGGCCACCCAGUAGUUAGGUGUGAAUUUUCGAGACCUUUGGCACCGUUCUAAGAUGGGUCCUCUCUUCGUAGGCUAAUGCAUUGGCCCUUUUUGACCCGUUUUGGGGCGAAAACAAAAACUGACUCCCGGGCAUAUUUUUUUCGGCCUUUAUGGGCAGAGAACUUUAAUACCGCUCAAAAUGAGGCCACCCAGUAGUUAGGUGUGAAUUUUCGAGACCUUUGGCACCGUUCUAAGAUGGGUCCUCUCUUCGUAGGCUAAUGCAUUGGCCCUUUUUGACCCGUUUUGGGGCGAAAACAAAAACUGACUCCCGGGCAUAUUUUUUUCGGCCUUUAUGGGCAGAGAACUUUAAUACCGCUCAAAAUGAGGCCACCCAGUAGUUAGGUGUGAAUUUUCGAGACCUUUGGCACCGUUCUAAGAUGGGUCCUCUCUUCGUAGGCUAAUGCAUUGGCCCUUUUUGACCCGUUUUGGGGCGAAAACAAAAACUGACUCCCGGGCAUAUUUUUUUCGGCCUUUAUGGGCAGAGAACUUUAAUACCGCUCAAAAUGAGGCCACCCAGUAGUUAGGUGUGAAUUUUCGAGACCUUUGGCACCGUUCUAAGAUGGGUCCUCUCUUCGUAGGCUAAUGCAUUGGCCCUUUUUGACCCGUUUUGGGGCGAAAACAAAAACUGACUCCCGGGCAUAUUUUUUUCGGCCUUUAUGGGCAGAGAACUUUAAUACCGCUCAAAAUGAGGCCACCCAGUAGUUAGGUGUGAAUUUUCGAGACCUUUGGCACCGUUCUAAGAUGGGUCCUCUCUUCGUAGGCUAAUGCAUUGGCCCUUUUUGACCCGUUUUGGGGCGAAAACAAAAACUGACUCCCGGGCAUAUUUUUUUCGGCCUUUAUGGGCAGAGAACUUUAAUACCGCUCAAAAUGAGGCCACCCAGUAGUUAGGUGUGAAUUUUCGAGACCUUUGGCACCGUUCUAAGAUGGGUCCUCUCUUCGUAGGCUAAUGCAUUGGCCCUUUUUGACCCGUUUUGGGGCGAAAACAAAAACUGACUCCCGGGCAUAUUUUUUUCGGCCUUUAUGGGCAGAGAACUUUAAUACCGCUCAAAAUGAGGCCACCCAGUAGUUAGGUGUGAAUUUUCGAGACCUUUGGCACCGUUCUAAGAUGGGUCCUCUCUUCGUAGGCUAAUGCAUUGGCCCUUUUUGACCCGUUUUGGGGCGAAAACAAAAACUGACUCCCGGGCAUAUUUUUUUCGGCCUUUAUGGGCAGAGAACUUUAAUACCGCUCAAAAUGAGGCCACCCAGUAGUUAGGUGUGAAUUUUCGAGACCUUUGGCACCGUUCUAAGAUGGGUCCUCUCUUCGUAGGCUAAUGCAUUGGCCCUUUUUGACCCGUUUUGGGGCGAAAACAAAAACUGACUCCCGGGCAUAUUUUUUUCGGCCUUUAUGGGCAGAGAACUUUAAUACCGCUCAAAAUGAGGCCACCCAGUAGUUAGGUGUGAAUUUUCGAGACCUUUGGCACCGUUCUAAGAUGGGUCCUCUCUUCGUAGGCUAAUGCAUUGGCCCUUUUUGACCCGUUUUGGGGCGAAAACAAAAACUGACUCCCGGGCAUAUUUUUUUCGGCCUUUAUGGGCAGAGAACUUUAAUACCGCUCAAAAUGAGGCCACCCAGUAGUUAGGUGUGAAUUUUCGAGACCUUUGGCACCGUUCUAAGAUGGGUCCUCUCUUCGUAGGCUAAUGCAUUGGCCCUUUUUGACCCGUUUUGGGGCGAAAACAAAAACUGACUCCCGGGCAUAUUUUUUUCGGCCUUUAUGGGCAGAGAACUUUAAUACCGCUCAAAAUGAGGCCACCCAGUAGUUAGGUGUGAAUUUUCGAGACCUUUGGCACCGUUCUAAGAUGGGUCCUCUCUUCGUAGGCUAAUGCAUUGGCCCUUUUUGACCCGUUUUGGGGCGAAAACAAAAACUGACUCCCGGGCAUAUUUUUUUCGGCCUUUAUGGGCAGAGAACUUUAAUACCGCUCAAAAUGAGGCCACCCAGUAGUUAGGUGUGAAUUUUCGAGACCUUUGGCACCGUUCUAAGAUGGGUCCUCUCUUCGUAGGCUAAUGCAUUGGCCCUUUUUGACCCGUUUUGGGGCGAAAACAAAAACUGACUCCCGGGCAUAUUUUUUUCGGCCUUUAUGGGCAGAGAACUUUAAUACCGCUCAAAAUGAGGCCACCCAGUAGUUAGGUGUGAAUUUUCGAGACCUUUGGCACCGUUCUAAGAUGGGUCCUCUCUUCGUAGGCUAAUGCAUUGGCCCUUUUUGACCCGUUUUGGGGCGAAAACAAAAACUGACUCCCGGGCAUAUUUUUUUCGGCCUUUAUGGGCAGAGAACUUUAAUACCGCUCAAAAUGAGGCCACCCAGUAGUUAGGUGUGAAUUUUCGAGACCUUUGGCACCGUUCUAAGAUGGGUCCUCUCUUCGUAGGCUAAUGCAUUGGCCCUUUUUGACCCGUUUUGGGGCGAAAACAAAAACUGACUCCCGGGCAUAUUUUUUUCGGCCUUUAUGGGCAGAGAACUUUAAUACCGCUCAAAAUGAGGCCACCCAGUAGUUAGGUGUGAAUUUUCGAGACCUUUGGCACCGUUCUAAGAUGGGUCCUCUCUUCGUAGGCUAAUGCAUUGGCCCUUUUUGACCCGUUUUGGGGCGAAAACAAAAACUGACUCCCGGGCAUAUUUUUUUCGGCCUUUAUGGGCAGAGAACUUUAAUACCGCUCAAAAUGAGGCCACCCAGUAGUUAGGUGUGAAUUUUCGAGACCUUUGGCACCGUUCUAAGAUGGGUCCUCUCUUCGUAGGCUAAUGCAUUGGCCCUUUUUGACCCGUUUUGGGGCGAAAACAAAAACUGACUCCCGGGCAUAUUUUUUUCGGCCUUUAUGGGCAGAGAACUUUAAUACCGCUCAAAAUGAGGCCACCCAGUAGUUAGGUGUGAAUUUUCGAGACCUUUGGCACCGUUCUAAGAUGGGUCCUCUCUUCGUAGGCUAAUGCAUUGGCCCUUUUUGACCCGUUUUGGGGCGAAAACAAAAACUGACUCCCGGGCAUAUUUUUUUCGGCCUUUAUGGGCAGAGAACUUUAAUACCGCUCAAAAUGAGGCCACCCAGUAGUUAGGUGUGAAUUUUCGAGACCUUUGGCACCGUUCUAAGAUGGGUCCUCUCUUCGUAGGCUAAUGCAUUGGCCCUUUUUGACCCGUUUUGGGGCGAAAACAAAAACUGACUCCCGGGCAUAUUUUUUUCGGCCUUUAUGGGCAGAGAACUUUAAUACCGCUCAAAAUGAGGCCACCCAGUAGUUAGGUGUGAAUUUUCGAGACCUUUGGCACCGUUCUAAGAUGGGUCCUCUCUUCGUAGGCUAAUGCAUUGGCCCUUUUUGACCCGUUUUGGGGCGAAAACAAAAACUGACUCCCGGGCAUAUUUUUUUCGGCCUUUAUGGGCAGAGAACUUUAAUACCGCUCAAAAUGAGGCCACCCAGUAGUUAGGUGUGAAUUUUCGAGACCUUUGGCACCGUUCUAAGAUGGGUCCUCUCUUCGUAGGCUAAUGCAUUGGCCCUUUUUGACCCGUUUUGGGGCGAAAACAAAAACUGACUCCGGGCAUAUUUUUUUCGGCCUUUAUGGGCAGAGAACUUUAAUACCGCUCAAAAUGAGGCCACCCAGUAGUUAGGUGUGAAUUUUCGAGACCUUUGGCACCGUUCUAAGAUGGGUCCUCUCUUCGUAGGCUAAUGCAUUGGCCCUUUUUGACCCGUUUUGGGGCGAAAACAAAAACUGACUCCCGGGCAUAUUUUUUUCGGCCUUUAUGGGCAGAGAACUUUAAUACCGCUCAAAAUGAGGCCACCCAGUAGUUAGGUGUGAAUUUUCGAGACCUUUGGCACCGUUCUAAGAUGGGUCCUCUCUUCGUAGGCUAAUGCAUUGGCCCUUUUUGACCCGUUUUGGGGCGAAAACAAAAACUGACUCCCGGGCAUAUUUUUUUCGGCCUUUAUGGGCAGAGAACUUUAAUACCGCUCAAAAUGAGGCCACCCAGUAGUUAGGUGUGAAUUUUCGAGACCUUUGGCACCGUUCUAAGAUGGGUCCUCUCUUCGUAGGCUAAUGCAUUGGCCCUUUUUGACCCGUUUUGGGGCGAAAACAAAAACUGACUCCCGGGCAUAUUUUUUUCGGCCUUUAUGGGCAGAGAACUUUAAUACCGCUCAAAAUGAGGCCACCCAGUAGUUAGGUGUGAAUUUUCGAGACCUUUGGCACCGUUCUAAGAUGGGUCCUCUCUUCGUAGGCUAAUGCAUUGGCCCUUUUUGACCCGUUUUGGGGCGAAAACAAAAACUGACUCCCGGGCAUAUUUUUUUCGGCCUUUAUGGGCAGAGAACUUUAAUACCGCUCAAAUGAGGCCACCCAGUAGUUAGGUGUGAAUUUUCGAGACCUUUGGCACCGUUCUAAGAUGGGUCCUCUCUUCGUAGGCUAAUGCAUUGGCCCUUUUUGACCCGUUUUGGGGCGAAAACAAAA